UAAUACGGAGGGUGCGAGCGUUGUUCGGAAUUACUGGGCGUAAAGGGCGCGUAGGCGGCUUGAUAAGUCAGAUGUGAAAGUCCAUGGCUCAACUGUGGAAGUGCAUUUGAAACUGUCUGGCUUGAGUAUCGGAGGGGAGUGUGGAAUUCCCGGUGUAGAGGUGAAAUUCGUAGAGAUCGGGAGGAACACCUGUGGCGAAGGCGACACUCUGGACGAAUACUGACGCUGAGGCGCGAAAGCGUGGGGAGCAAACAGGAUUAGAUACCCUGGUAGUCCACGCCGUAAACGAUGAGAACUAGAGGUAGGGGGUGUUGAUCCCUCCUGUCUCGCAGCAAACGCAUUAAGUUCUCCGCCUGGGGAGUACGGUCGCAAGAUUA
rnacentral:rRNA from 1 species